rfam:Brassica oleracea var. oleracea cultivar TO1000 chromosome C2, whole genome shotgun sequence
CGAAGUUAAGAAACUGUUUCUUAACUUUUAACUAAAAAAACUAAGAAUCAGUUCUUAAAAUCCUUAUUUAAGAACUGAUUCUUAGCUUUUUUAGUUAAAAAUUAAGAAACAGUUUAUUAACUUCC